CGGUUACUCUGCGCUCACCGUUGUGAGCUGGCCCAUGUGUGACUGCAGAGAUAACCCCU
ensembl:miRNA